UACAGAGGGGGCAAGCGUUGUUCGGAAUUACUGGGCGUAAAGGGCGCGUAGGCGGCCCUCUAAGUCAGACGUGAAAUCCCUCGGCUCAACCGGGGAACUGCGUCUGAGACUGGAAGGCUUGAAUUCGGGAGAGGGAUGUGGAAUUCCAGGUGUAGCGGUGAAAUGCGUAGAUAUCUGGAGGAACACCGGUGGCGAAGGCGGCAUCCUGGACCGGCAUUGACGCUGAGGAGCGAAAGCCAGGGGAGCAAACGGG
rnacentral:rRNA from 1 species